rnacentral:rRNA from 1 species
UUAAGUUAUUAAGGGCGCACGGUGGAUGCCUUGGCACUAGAAGCCGAUGAAGGACGUUACUAACGACGAUAUGCUUUGGGGAGCUGUAAGUAAGCUUUGAUCCAGAGAUUUCCGAAUGGGGAAACCCAGCAUGAGUUAUGUCAUGUUAUCGAUAUGUGAAUACAUAGCAUAUCAGAAGGCACACCCGGAGAACUGAAACAUCUUAGUACCCGGAGGAAGAGAAAGAAAAUUCGAUUCCCUUAGUAGCGGCGAGCGAAACGGGAAGAGCCCAAACCAACAAGCUUGCUUGUUGGGGUUGUAGGACACUCUGUACGGAGUUACAAAGGACGACAUUAGACGAAUCAUCUGGAAAGAUGAAUCAAAGAAGGUAAUAAUCCUGUAGUCGAAAAUGUUGUCUCUCUUGAGUGGAUCCUGAGUACGACGGAGCACGUGAAAUUCCGUCGGAAUCUGGGAGGACCAUCUCCUAAGGCUAAAUACUCUCUAGUGACCGAUAGUGAACCAGUACCGUGAGGGAAAGGUGAAAAGCACCCCGGAAGGGGAGUGAAAUAGAACCUGAAACCGUGUGCUUACAAGUAGUCAGAGCCCGUUAAUGGGUGAUGGCGUGCCUUUUGUAGAAUGAACCGGCGAGUUACGAUUUGAUGCAAGGUUAAGCAGUAAAUGUGGAGCCGUAGCGAAAGCGAGUCUGAAUAGGGCGUUUAGUAUUUGGUCGUAGACCCGAAACCAGGUGAUCUACCCUUGGUCAGGUUGAAGUUCAGGUAACACUGAAUGGAGGACCGAACCGACUUACGUUGAAAAGUGAGCGGAUGAACUGAGGGUAGCGGAGAAAUUCCAAUCGAACCUGGAGAUAGCUGGUUCUCUCCGAAAUAGCUUUAGGGCUAGCCUCAAGUGAUGAUUAUUGGAGGUAGAGCACUGUUUGGACGAGGGGCCCCUCUCGGGUUACCGAAUUCAGACAAACUCCGAAUGCCAAUUAAUUUAACUUGGGAGUCAGAACAUGGGUGAUAAGGUCCGUGUUCGAAAGGGAAACAGCCCAGACCACCAGCUAAGGUCCCAAAAUAUAUGUUAAGUGGAAAAGGAUGUGGCGUUGCCCAGACAACUAGGAUGUUGGCUUAGAAGCAGCCAUCAUUUAAAGAGUGCGUAAUAGCUCACUAGUCGAGUGACACUGCGCCGAAAAUGUACCGGGGCUAAACAUAUUACCGAAGCUGUGGAUUGUCCUUUGGACAAUGGUAGGAGAGCGUUCUAAGGGCGUUGAAGCAUGAUCGUAAGGACAUGUGGAGCGCUUAGAAGUGAGAAUGCCGGUGUGAGUAGCGAAAGACGGGUGAGAAUCCCGUCCACCGAUUGACUAAGGUUUCCAGAGGAAGGCUCGUCCGCUCUGGGUUAGUCGGGUCCUAAGCUGAGGCCGACAGGCGUAGGCGAUGGAUAACAGGUUGAUAUUCCUGUACCACCUAUAAUCGUUUUAAUCGAUGGGGGGACGCAGUAGGAUAGGCGAAGCGUGCGAUUGGAUUGCACGUCUAAGCAGUAAGGCUGAGUAUUAGGCAAAUCCGGUACUCGUUAAGGUUGAGCUGUGAUGGGGAGAAGACAUUGUGUCUUCGAGUCGUUGAUUUCACACUGCCGAGAAAAGCCUCUAGAUAGAAAAUAGGUGCCCGUACCGCAAACCGACACAGGUAGUCAAGAUGAGAAUUCUAAGGUGAGCGAGCGAACUCUCGUUAAGGAACUCGGCAAAAUGACCCCGUAACUUCGGGAGAAGGGGUGCUCUUUAGGGUUAACGCCCAGAAGAGCCGCAGUGAAUAGGCCCAAGCGACUGUUUAUCAAAAACACAGGUCUCUGCUAAACCGUAAGGUGAUGUAUAGGGGCUGACGCCUGCCCGGUGCUGGAAGGUUAAGAGGAGUGGUUAGCUUCUGCGAAGCUACGAAUCGAAGCCCCAGUAAACGGCGGCCGUAACUAUAACGGUCCUAAGGUAGCGAAAUUCCUUGUCGGGUAAGUUCCGACCCGCACGAAAGGCGUAACGAUUUGGGCACUGUCUCAACGAGAGACUCGGUGAAAUCAUAGUACCUGUGAAGAUGCAGGUUACCCGCGACAGGACGGAAAGACCCCGUGGAGCUUUACUGUAGCCUGAUAUUGAAAUUCGGCACAGCUUGUACAGGAUAGGUAGGAGCCUUUGAAACGUGAGCGCUAGCUUACGUGGAGGCGCUGGUGGGAUACUACCCUAGCUGUGUUGGCUUUCUAACCCGCACCACUUAUCGUGGUGGGAGACAGUGUCAGGCGGGCAGUUUGACUGGGGCGGUCGCCUCCUAAAAGGUAACGGAGGCGCUCAAAGGUUCCCUCAGAAUGGUUGGAAAUCAUUCAUAGAGUGUAAAGGCAUAAGGGAGCUUGACUGCGAGACCUACAAGUCGAGCAGGGUCGAAAGACGGACUUAGUGAUCCGGUGGUUCCGCAUGGAAGGGCCAUCGCUCAACGGAUAAAAGCUACCCCGGGGAUAACAGGCUUAUCUCCCCCAAGAGUUCACAUCGACGGGGAGGUUUGGCACCUCGAUGUCGGCUCAUCGCAUCCUGGGGCUGUAGUCGGUCCCAAGGGUUGGGCUGUUCGCCCAUUAAAGCGGUACGCGAGCUGGGUUCAGAACGUCGUGAGACAGUUCGGUCCCUAUCCGUCGUGGGCGUAGGAAAUUUGAGAGGAGCUGUCCUUAGUACGAGAGGACCGGGAUGGACAUACCUCUGGUGUACCAGUUGUCGUGCCAACGGCAUAGCUGGGUAGCUAUGUGUGGACGGGAUAAGUGCUGAAAGCAUCUAAGCAUGAAGCCCCCCUCAAGAUGAGAUUUCCCAACUUCGGUUAUAAGAUCCCUCAAAGAUGAUGAGGUUAAUAGGUUCGAGGUGGAAGCAUGGUGACAUGUGGAGCUGACGAAUACUAAUCGAUCGAAGACUUAAUCAA